UACAGAGGUGGCAAGCGUUGUUCGGAAUUACUGGGCGUAAAGGGCGCGUAGGCGGCCUUCUAAGUCAGACGUGAAAUCCCCCGGCUUAACCUGGGAACUGCGUCUGAUACUGGAUGGCUUGAAUCCGGGAGAGGGAUGCAGAAUUCCAGGUGUAGCGGUGAAAUGCGUAGAUAUCUGGAGGAAUACCGGUGGCGAAGGCGGCAUCCUGGACCGGCAUUGACGCUGAGUGAGCGAAAGCCAGGGGAGCAAACGGG
rnacentral:rRNA from 1 species